rnacentral:lncRNA from 1 species
CCGCUCCCUCUUCCGAGCUGCCGGCCCGCGGCCGCCUGCGGCCUGUCGCUGCCUGGUCCCCUCGCGGGCUUCGGUUCUGGCUCUGGGGUUGCGCUUCCCGCCUCGGUCCGCUGUUGUGCCCGGGCCUGCAGACCCCGCGGGGACCAGCGUUGCCCCGCCACCCGCGUUCCUCAAAGCUCUCCUCGGUCCUGCUCCUGCUCGCUCUUGUCGCAGCGCUGUUUCUGCCUCUCUCUCAGUCAGCAGCCCCAUCCUGUAAUGCAUUUAGCAGCUGUGGGUUCUUUAUGACCCGAGAUCUGCGAGGACCUCCCAGCAGCAAAUUCCGUGUCGCGCAGAAUAAUGUCACUGCAAUCAAUAAUUGCAUAAAGCUAUAUUCAACUGCAUCUCAAGUAGAAGCAUCUUCUAUGCUCCUGAUUGCUAGUGACCCAACACUUGAAUCUUCACCUCUUAGGCAAAGACUUUGGGGUCCAGGGCUCUGCACCAACCAGACACAUCCGCGUCUCUGGCUGCUCAGCAAAAUCUUUAUAAAGCAAAACACUCCCUCCCAGACAAGAUGAUGAAUGAUGAAUGUGCUGCAAAGUGAUAUGGAGCUUACCCUCCGGGGAUGUUCCACACAGAAUGAGCGCAGCGUAUGGGCAAUUGUUCAGUUGAAGUAACUGUGCUCUGACAACAUUAAAAC